CCAUGAGAUGCUCUGCAUUCACAGAUAAUGAUGAGCCCUGAGAUUUAGAUAAUGCUCUGCACACUAAUAACCAAUCAGUUCAGCAUAAUGCUCUGUACUCACAGACUCUGUGCUCUGGUGAUGCUCUGCAGCCAAGUCCAAGAUGAUGUUCUGCACUCAAAUAAAAUUCAUCUUUCACCAUUGAGUCUGAGGCAAUGCAGUCUAUCCAGUGUGCAGUAUAUCCAGUGUGGGUGAUGCUCUGCAGUCUAUACCUAGAACCAUAUGUUGGUAUUGUACUGCACUGAGUUCUAGAUAGUCUGGGUGAUUACCUGCAGUCAUUUACAGCAUUAAAAAGUCAUUAGUGAUGCUCUACACUCCAGGCAAUGAUUUAUACCCAAUACCCUGAGAUGCUCUGCAAUACUAUAUCAAUCUAAUAUCCUGUGAUGCUAUUCAGUUUAUGAUUGGGAUCCUGGUUCUCUCUCUAUCCUUACUCUCUCAGUUUGACCCUGGCUGUCUCAGUCUCACUCUGUCUGACCCAUGUUGUCU